rnacentral:rRNA from 1 species
CCUACGGGAGGCAGCAGUGGGGAAUAUUGCACAAUGGGGGAAACCCUGAUGCAGCGACGCCGCGUGAGUGAAGAAGUAAUUCGUUAUGUAAAGCUCUAUCAGCAGGGAAGAAAAUGACGGUACCUGAGUAAGAAGCCCCGGCUAACUACGUGCCAGCAGCCGCGGUAAUACGUAGGGGGCAAGCGUUAUCCGGAUUUACUGGUUGUAAAGGGAGCGUAGACGGCAGUGCAAGUCUGGAUUGAAAGGCGGGGGCUCAACCCCCGGACUGCUCUGGAAACUGUACGGCUGGAGUGCAGGAGGGGUAAGGGGAAUUUCGAGGGUAGGGGUGAAAGGUGGGGAUAUUAGGGGGAACACCAGUGGCGAAGGCGGCUUACUGGAGUUUGACUGACGUGGAGGCUCGAAAGCGUGGGGAGCAAACAGGAUUAGAUACCCCUGUAGUC